UACGAAGGGUGCAAGCGUUAAUCGGAAUUACUGGGCGUAAAGCGCGCGUAGGCGGCUUUGCAAGUCGGGUGUGAAAUCCCCAGGCUUAACCUGGGAACUGCAUUCGAGACUGCAUUGCUAGAGUAUGGGAGAGGGAAGUGGAAUUUCCGGUGUAGCGGUGAAAUGCGUAGAUAUCGGAAGGAACAUCAGUGGCGAAAGCGACUUCCUGGACCAAUACUGACGCUCAUGUGCGAAAGCGUGGGGAGCAAACAGG
rnacentral:rRNA from 1 species